UGAAAGAAAGAAAGAAAGAAAGAAAGAAAGAAAUGAACAAAAAUGCCUCAA
rnacentral:ribozyme from 11 species